AACGAACGUUGGCGGCGUGGAUUAGGCAUGCAAGUCGGGGGAAUCCCAGCAAUGGGGGAACCGGCGUAAGGGGCAGUAAGGCAUGGGUACCUACCCUGGGGUUCGGGAUAGCUGUCCGAGAGGGCAGGUAAUACCGGAUGACCUGGUGACAGCAAAGAUUUAUCGCCCUGGGAGGGGCCCAUGUGAUAUUAGCUAGUUGGUGAGGUAACGGCUCACCAAGGCUUAGAUGUCUAGCGGGUGUGAGAGCACGACCCGCGCCACUGGCACUGAGACACUGGCCAGACACCUACGGGUGGCUGCAGUCGAGGAUCUUCGGCAAUGAGCGCAAGCUUGACCGAGCGACGCCGCGUGGGCGAUGAAGGCCUUCGGGUUGUAAAGCCCUGUCGAGGGGGAGAAAAGGGUAAAACUUUGAUCUAUCCCUGGAGGAAGCACGGGCUAAGUUCGUGCCAGCAGCCGCUGUAACAC
rnacentral:rRNA from 1 species